rnacentral:rRNA from 1 species
AUACGGAGGGUGCAAGCGUUAUUCGGAAUCACUGGGCGUAAAGGACGCGUAGGCUGGUUUGCAAGUCAGGGGUGAAAGCCUACAGCUUAACUGUAGAACUGCUCUUGAAACUGCUUACCUAGAGUAUGGGAGAGGUGAAAGGAAUUAGUGGUGUGGGGGUAAAAUCCGUAGAGAUCACUAGGAAUACCGAUUGCGAAGGCGUUUCACUGGAACAUUACUGACGCUGAGGCGUGAAAGCGUGGGGAGCAAACAGGAUUAGAAACCCUAGUAGUCC